UGGAGGUGGAAGGAGGCUGAGCUCUCAUUUCUGGAGGUGGAGGGAGGCUGAGCUCUCAUUUCUGGAGGUGGAGGGAGGCUGAGCUCUCAUUUCUGGAGGUGGAGGGAGGCUGAGCUCUCAUUUCUGGAGGUGGAGGGAGGCUGAGCUCUCAUUUCUGGAGGUGGAGGGAAGCUGAGCUCUCAUUUAUGGAGGUGGAAGGAGGCUGAGCUCUCAUUUAUGGAGGUGGAGGGGAGGUGAGGCUGCGAUUUUUAGUGCUUAAAGCGAGAUUAAGGCCAAACUCCAGAUGAGAAACCUUCCUGUACUUGUUUUGAUGCUAACCCCCUCUGAGAGCCUGGGGGUCUCACACAGCCUAAGCUUCACUUGUGAGCGUUAGGAAGGGCAGAGCGCCUCUCUGGCGUGUUUCGGGGGUGUGGCUUUGCUGUCACUUGUAACGACCGCGAUGUAACUCAUUAAAACGCUGCUUUCA